rnacentral:rRNA from 1 species
GACGAACGCUGGCGGCGUGCUUAACACAUGCAAGUCGAACGGAAAGGCCCUGCUUUUGUGGGGUGCUCGAGUGGCGAACGGGUGAGUAACACGUGAGUAACCUGCCCUUGACUUUGGGAUAACUUCAGGAAACUGGGGCUAAUACCGGAUAGGAGCUCCUGCUGCAUGGUGGGGGUUGGAAAGUUUCGGCGGUUGGGGAUGGACUCGCGGCUUAUCAGCUUGUUGGUGGGGUAGUGGCUUACCAAGGCUUUGACGGGUAGCCGGCCUGAGAGGGUGACCGGCCACAUGGGGACUGGGAGACGGCCCAGACUCCUACGGGAGGAAGCAGUGGGGAAUAUUGCACAAUGGGCGGAAGCCUGAUGCAGCACCGCCGCGUGCGGGAUGACGGCCUUCGGGUUGUAAACCGCUUUCGCCUGUGACGAAGCGUGAGUGACGGUAAUGGGUAAAGAAGCACCGGCUAACUACGU